rnacentral:rRNA from 1 species
AAUGAACGCUGGCGGCAGGCCUAACACAUGCAAGUCGAACGAAUGGCGGACGGGUGAGUAAUGUCUGGGAAACUGCCUGAUGGAGCGGGAUAACUACUGGAAACGGUAGCUAAUACCGCAUAACGUCCGAUGUGCCCUGAUGGGAUUAGCUAGUAGGUGGGGUAAAGGCUCACCAAGGCGACGAUCCCUAGCUGGUCUGAGAGGAUGCACAGCCACACUGGAACUGAGACACUGUCCAGACUCCUACGGGAGGCAGCAGUGGGGAAUAUUGGACAAUGGGCGCAAGCCUGAUGCAGCAAUGCCGCGUGUAUGAAGAAGGCCUUCGGGUUGUAAAGUACUUUCAGCGGGGAGGCGUUACCCGCAGAAGAAGCCCCGGCUAACUCCGUGCCAGCAGCCGCGGUAAUAC